rnacentral:rRNA from 1 species
AUGGCCUACGGGGCGCAGCAGUAAGGGAUAUUGGUCAAUGGGGGAAACCCUGAACCAGCAACGCCGCGUGAGGGAAGACGGUUUUCGGAUUGUAAACCUCUGUCCUCUGUGAAGAUGAUGACGGUAGCAGAGGAGGAAGCUUCGGCUAACUCCGUGCCAGCAGCCGCGGUAAUACGGAGGAUGCGAGCGUUAUCCGGAUUUAUUGGGUUUAAAGGGUGCGCAGGCGGUCUGUUAAGUCAGCGGUCAAAGCCCGGGGC